rnacentral:lncRNA from 1 species
GCAGUUUGCGGACCCAAGGGCCAGGCGGCGACUGUUUCCUCGGCACAGCACAAAGGCGGCUCGUGAAGAGAGGUGCGGGCAGGUAGCUGAAGUCUGGGGGAGGGCGGUGCUGGCGGCUUCAAGAGUCUCUGCACACGCCCCUCCAACGAACAGCCAAAUGUCUGGAAAAUAAAAGGAUGACCAGUGGAGAAAGAAACGUAACCAAUAAGAGAUAUGUGAGGAGAUUUAUUAUGAUAAACUGCUCACAGAUUAUGGACCCUGAGAAGACCCACAGUCUACCACCUGCAAGUUGGAGACUCAGGAAAGCCAGCGGUGUCAUUCCACUCUGAGUUUGAAAGCCUGAGAAUCAGGGCAGCUGAUGGUAUAAAUCCUAGUCUGAAGACAAGGGAAGACCAAUAUCCAGCUCAGGGAGCAGACAGAAAGCAAAAGGGGGUUCACAGCCAGUCCAGGACAGGCUCCACAUGUCAGGCGUGGACGAAGUUGUGCAGAAGUGUAAUUACGUCGUGGUCAAUGCAGUGUUCGCUUUUGUAAGUCAGCGCAAAACAUGCCACAGACACAUUCUGUGAAUAACGUUCUGUGGCUAAAAUUCCUUGUAAUGAAAAGACAAAGUUAUAUGAAAUAGAAUGACACUUGCUACUCCAGUUAACUCCACUCUGUACCUGGGGGUUCUGACUCCAUAUGUGGUUUUGGCGGUGUGUUGCUGUGCUAGAUCCUUCCACAUUCAACAAGUGGCAGACUAUGUAAAAGGUAAGAGUCCCCAGGGCAAAGUCACUGAGCCAUGAUAUCUGUAAUUUAUACUGGGGCAUCUGAAACCUGUAUGAGAAUUUUCAAGAAACCCAUAGGAAUGGGAAUAUCACAUACAAAUUGAGCACAAUGAGAAACUUUUUAAUAGGGUCCAAGGGAGAACAAAAGAGGUAGAUCUCCACAGCCUCGGAAGAGUCAACAGCAGUGGAAAGAAGGCAAGUUUUUCCCAGAGUCCUCAUGUGGAGCACCUGUGCCCUUUCUUUCCAUCUGAUCUCCUAACACAGAGAAGCACAACCUCAGAGAAUACAGCUUGUCCCCCACGGACUUGUUCCUGGCCCCUGAAGUUGUCCUCAUAGGGGGUCCCUGGGCUCCAUCUGCAGCUAUUCUGCCAACCCCCUUCCUACAAUCAAGCUCCCCAGGCACAAUCUUGGUCAGGAACAACUUAAGGAAAUUGAGCCUGGAAUUCAGUGUCUGCUUUAGUUCUGAUACUCAGGCUUGUUCCAUCCCUAUUCAUUGGUCUUAGAACUGCCUCCCUGCUGUAUUUCUUCUCCUUGUCUUGGUGAUUUAUCUCUUAAGGGUCCUUCAAGAACUAAAGCUCACCUCGUUACUAUUUUCAGCCUCCAGGCCUCUUUUGGACCUCAGAUGAAGGGCUGGGACUGUCAGUCCCUGACAGUUUCUGGAUUCUUCAGCAUUAUGCCCCAAAGCUGGCAGCCUUCUGGUUGGACUACAGCCAGGUCAGAUACAGACUUCCUUUGCUGUUAGGCUUGGCCUAUACCCCUAUUGCCUGCCUGCCGCCGCCGUAUAGGCAGAAGCAGCUCCCAAAUCUUCCCUUUCCCAUCCAUCCUGCCUUCUUCAGGUUAACUAGGUCAUUUCAGACAGUGUCCCAAGGUAGGAAGGCUUGAGCUCAAGAGGCUAACUUCUUCCUGCUGAGUGCUAACUGCAGCUAGAAGAGUAAUUCCUAUAGCUCUGUAUCAAGAUGCUUCUUCUUUUGUGACUGCCAUGCUCUUCAGGCUUUAUUUAGGACUGUUAAUGUCAUGUACGCUAUUUACUGGUCAAAUUAAGACUAUUAUUAUAGAGUCACUGAAAGUCUUGAUUUUAAAGAUAACUUCAUGUUUUAGGAAAAUAAUCAUGAUUUAAUGUUUGGGGGGCAAGCAGGAUACAGAACUAUGUCAAGCUGUGUGAGCUCAUUGUGGCAGACAUCAUGUGGGAUUUGGGCUGCUCAGUAUCUAAACUCCCUUCCCAGGUUUAAGGAAUUUCCCACCAUGUGAUUCUACAUGUGCAGUGAAGGCCCCCUACCUUUAGAGAAGCAAAGAAUUAAGAGGCCUUUCUGUCACUGCUCCCUGACAGCUGGGGCAGGCAUGUGGCCUUGACUCAAUUAAGCACCCACCCAGACUUGGAAUUGGGGACCAGCGAUUCACAGAAGCAAGGACUAUGGAAACUCCAUCCUAUCAGUGAAGGUGACACAGUUACCAGGGCAGCAGGGCUGUCAGGGCCAGCAGAACCAGCAUUGUAUCUGGCCUCUGGUUCUGUUUCAGUUAUUGUAUUUUGCAUCUCUUCUUGCUUAAGUUUUAUAUUUUGUAUCUCUUUGCUCAGUGUUUCCUGUAAAUUAUCCGUCUUUGCCUCCAGUUUAUUUCUAAUGUCUUGCAUCAUCUUCUGCAUCAACAGUCUAAAGUCUUUUUCCUGGAGGCUGAGAAUCUUCUAAUCACUUAGCUGUUUUUCUGGGAUUUUUUUUCUUUCUCCCUUCUCUGACUUAUAGUUCUCUGUCUUUUCAUUUUUAUAGGUUUUUGGUCUGGUGACUUUUUUUACAGAUAAUAGAGUUGUAGCCUCUCUUAAUUCUGGCAUCCGCCCCCCUUGUGGCUGAAGUUGGUAUAGGGGCUUGCUGUAGGCUUCCUAAUGGGAGGGACUGAUGCCUGUCCGCUGGUAGGUGGUGCUGAUUCCUAUCCCUCUGGUGGGUGGGGCUUUGUCUCUGGGUGAGAUUAGAGGCACUGGAGUGCCUGGGGGGUCUUUAGGCAGCCUGUUUACUGAUGGGCAGGGCUGUGAUCCCACCUGGACUGUUGUUUGGCCUGAGGCUUCUCAGCCUGAUGGGUGGAGCCAGAUUUUCCCAAAAUGGCCACCUCUCGAUGUGGCCUCCUCUUUGUCUUCUGGAGUAGGAUAUCUUGUUGAAAGUUUCCAGUCCAUUUGGUUGAAGGUUGUUCAGCAUUUGGUUGUAAAUUUUGUUGUUUUUAGGAGAGAAGUUGAGCUCCAGUCCUACUAUUCUGCCAUCUUAAUCCCAUCUCCUCUGGUUCUGUUUUUUUAAAACCCUCCUUUGUCAUUUUUACUCUUUUUCAGGACUGGUUCUCUAGGCUUUCCUGUGAAUUUCUGAACUAACAAAUAUCUUUUCAGUAAAUUCCUUUCUUCUUAAAGGAGUAACAGCUUUUUCUGUUCAUUGCAGCUAAGAAUUCUGACAAGUGUACCAAUGCUUUUUAAAAUGCAAAGAGAAAAGACUUGAUGUACACUCAUUGUUAAUGAUGGUUAUCUUUAGGUGUAUAGAAUCACAGAUCAUUUUAGUUUUCUUCUUUUUUCCUGGGAACAUUUCCUAAAAAUUUCAGUAAAGUGGUAUUACCUUAGCAGUCAAGAAAGAGCUAAGUUUUAAAAUUGGAGAUUUCCUUGGAUCUCUGAAGUCCUUAAUUGUUGGAAAACAAUUACCUUGAUUAAUCAAGUGGAAUUUUAUUUUGGCACCUGUGACUUCAGUUUUGGCUUGGGCAAGUCAUAGGUAUUGGGGUAAGAGAAAUGCCAAUAUAUUUUGUGAAAAAAAAAAAAAAAGCCCGAGACCAGUUCUUACCUCGCAAUCCUGGUCUACUUAUAUUUUUUAUUUGUUUUAGAACUCUAUAGUCCUUUGAUGGGAGGCCUGAGAAUAUUGGACUAUUUUUAGAGAACUUUAACCCAAUUCCAAGCAAUAAGGAGUUUCUUAACACUAAUGUUUAUAAAUGUGUAUAAGCACAGGAACACUGCUCGUAUGAUUCUUUGUUGGUUUCUCCUAAGUAGCUAUCCCAACAGUUUUGUGAAUACUGUAAAUAAUAGUCUAAAAAUACCAGGAUAUUGAACCUACCAGUAAUUCGUGCAGUUGGCUGAGCAGCUACCAGCAAUGGUGUGAGUAACACAGUGGAAACUGUAUAAUGGUGUCCUUCGUUAGAACUAAAUCCCAGCUAUCAAGAGAAAACAAAGAUCACCAUUGAUAGGAAGCAGUGGUCGUCUUGUUUCUAUAAGAGCCUGGGGAGUUUUCAGUAUCCCCGCCUCCCUCUAGGAGAUUGCCUGCUUUUGACCAUGGGUGAGAGAUCAAAGUUACAUGGGAUGAGAGUCUCUUGCCCCUCCAUCAACACUGCUGAGACAGCAGUCAAGGGAACUCUGAAUCUGAUCCAGUUGUGAUCACUGAGUUGCUGCAGCCCUCAGAGUGUGGGGACCCUAUUGAUCAUGCCAAAUGAAGCAUCAAAGCACAGUAAAAUGGAAGAAGCAUAGCAUUUAGUCCAAUGGACUUGGUGUUAGAGCCCAGUCCAAAUAGCCACCAGCUGAUCACAUGAGGCUUUCUGAGCCUCGGUUUCACUACAGAAUGUAGAUAAAAGAAACACCUCAUAGUAUCAAAGGAAAUAGCCCAUGUAAAACUCUGAGUACAGUUUCUGGCUUAUAAUGGGUACUCAGUAAAUGGGACUUCUCUUCCAUCCAUGAGCUCUGCUCCCUUUAUUUUUCUGGGAAAUCCUUUAUCUUUUAGAAAGAGUGACUUCAGAUGCAAUUUUUGCAGAGAUAGUUAUUUUUUCCCAACCUCUCAAAUCUAGUAAAAUGCUAAAAUUACCUUCUAAUUAUUUUCUGGAAAGAGGUGCCUUGCCUGAACCAUGAAAAAUUAUCAAAAAAGGGAAACAUUCGUAGCUCAAUGAAUGAUCUGUGUCAAUAUUGCGUGUGACAAAUAUAUCAUCAUUUAACAUGUAGGAAUCAGCAUUAAAGUGCAGGGAAAAGGUAUUAGAGCAAGCCCAUGAGGUUGAAUAGUGCAACAAAAAAAGAUUGACAUUUGCUUAGUGAGGAUGCCAAGCUUGAGUGAUAAUCAACACUUUCUUCUGCUUGUUGAAUAAGAGGAAUACUCCGUAUUGAGCAAAAUGCCUUCAUAAACUGCUUGGGUGUAGCUAAUUUAUUUGGACAUUAAGAUAUAGUUUUCCCAUAUCCUUCCAAAUAGCAUUUUUGUUGCCAAUAUGUAAAUGGGUCUCCAGUCUCUCAGAAGGUGACACAAGAAAAGAAGUGCAGAAAAGAAGGAAAAUCAAACUAGAAAAGAAAAGAAGCCCUGUCCAAAAAAAUCAAUAAUUUUGCUACUGAGAAAUUGCUACCAUCCUUAUUCAGGAAGGGGUGGAAAGAUCAGACCAAGCUAACUUGUGUGAUAAAUGAGUUUAUAAAGUAGCCUGUACCAGGAGACUAAUUUAAUUGGCUGCUUAAAGUCUGAUAAUAUACCAUGCUACUACAAAUUUUUUCCUUUAUUUUAAUCUUCAAUUUAAGCUGAGUAUAAGGCACACCAUGUCUGCCUAAUGGGACAAGGAACACCAAUUGCUGCUGGGGGCAUACAACCACCUGUGGUAGGAAUUCCCUUUUGGCACAGAAAGUUAAGGAUCCAGCAUUGUCACUGCAGUGGCUUGGGUCACUUCUGUGGUGUGGCUUCGAUUCCUGGCCUGGGAACUUCCAUAUGCCAUGGUG